rnacentral:rRNA from 1 species
AUGAAUGAGAUUUUAGCAUUGAUUUCUUUUGAAGCUCCCUCCAUCAAGCCAAUUAUGAUUGUACCAUUCAGCACAAGACCAUCAGGCUGCUUCCAUGGAAUGGUUAAUGCAACAAAAACUGGGCAGUUAACUACACUUCAUGCUGCUGAAAUAGGGGCAUCAAAUGAGUUUACUCACUUGUUGGUUGACGGAAUUAUUAAACCUCCCCCAUCUUUGCAAAUACGCAGUGAACCAAUACAAUGUUUGCUGGAAAUGGUGUGGGUAUUGAAGAUACCCUUUGUUCUUCUUGUCACAUCAGGUGGGCAACACCAAGGUAAAAGUUCUUCAGACUCUGACCUUGAGGUGCUGCAGUGCGUGGGAGAUCACCUAGCCAAGCACAUCAACUUGGAGUUCUCCAAAGAAACUGUCAUUGAGACAGGGGUUGAGAAAUCCGCAAGCAUUCGAGAACCCUGGCGCGAACUGUAUCUGUGA